AAGAUUGCGAGCGACCGAUCCGAUGGCGAGGGCGAGGUCCUGAUGGCGGUCGGCCACGCCCAAGCGGGCACAAUCCACAAAACCGGAGAAACAGCCUUCCGCGAUGAGCAGGUUGGGCAGGCAGGCAUCGCCGUGGCAGACAACGAGA
rnacentral:misc_RNA from 1 species